AAAGUGUUGUUGAUAACCAUAGAAUCAUUACAGUUGGAAAAAGCCUCCAAGCUCAUCUGGUCCAACCAUCCCCCUACCACCAAUGUCACCCACUGAACCAUGUCCCUAAGCACGAGGUCCAACCUUUCCUUGAACACCACCUGGGACGGUGACUC